GUCUUGUAAUUGGAAUGAUGGGAAUUUAAACCUCUUCCAGAGUAUCAAUUGGAGGGCAAGUCUGGUGCCAGCAGCCGCGGUAAUUCCAGCUCCAAUAGCGUAUAUUAAAAUUGUUGCAGUUAAAAAGCUCGUAGUUGAAUUUCUGCUGUAUUGCAUUUUCUCUUUUUAUAUGAGUUUUUGCAUUAUGGCUUAUUUCAGUAUUAAUUUUUUAUUAUUACUGAAUGUUUACUUUGAGAAAAUUAGAGUGCUCAAAGCAGGCUUUUGCCUUGAAUAGUUUAGCAUGGAAUAAUAAAGUAGGACUUUGGUUCUAUUUUGUUGGUUUUAGGUACCAAAGUAAUGGUUAAUAGGAACAGUUGGGGGCAUUCGUAUUUAACUGUCAGAGGUGAAAUUCUUAGAUUUGUUAAAGACGAACUACUGCGAAAGCAUUUGCCAAGGAUGUUUUCAUUAAUCAAGAACGAAAGUUAGGGGAUCGAAGACGAUCAGAUACCGUCGUAGUCCUAACCAUAAACUA
rnacentral:rRNA from 1 species